rnacentral:lncRNA from 1 species
UUGUGUGACAUUAUUGAUCCCAACAUGACCUCCACCAAGUGAAUGGGCUUGCAAGUCAACUUGCUAAGGAAUAACUCCACACAAGUCAACAAGACUAUGCCAUUCUCUUAUCCUAAGUGCACUCGAGUUCGGGUAUAGAACUCAUCUCACAAAGAUCACCAAGCAUACAAGGAAUUAAUAUUCAAGCAAUUCAAUCAUUACAUACAAUACAGUAAUCCCAAAUUU